CAGCCGCCGCGGUAAUACAGAGGGUGCGAGCGUUAAUCGGAUUUACUGGGCGUAAAGCGUGUGUAGGUUGUUGUUCAAGUCAGUUGUGAAAUCCCUGGGCUCAACCUGGGAACUGCUUCUGAGACUGAACGACUAGAGUACGGUAGAGGGUGGUGGAAUUUCCGGUGUAGCGGUGAAAUGCGUAGAUAUCGGAAGGAACAUCAAUGGCGAAGGCAGCCACCUGGGCCUGUACUGACACUGAGACACGAAAGCGUGGGGAUCAAACAGGAUUAGAUACCCCUGUAGUCCCUGUCUCUUAUAU
rnacentral:rRNA from 1 species